CCCUCAGAGGAGCAACACAUCAGUCAGUGUAGAAUUUCAGCCUCAACUUUUUCACAGUAAGUUGACCACCAUGGCAGAAGAGUUGGGCCUUUCGGACUACGCCACCAUACAUGAGCUUGGGGGGUUCAACACGGCACAAAAAACCACCAGCAGGAAAACUGAACAAUCAGAAAGAAGACUCCUCAGAAUAGGGAUUUUAACUUUAGGAGUGUUGUGUAUCAUACAAGCCACUCUUAAUAUCUCCCUACGAGCUGCCUUUUAUUCAAAAGAGGACGUUGAUCAGUUCUCUUUCAACGUCUCUGUGAUAGCAGACUUAUGUCAGAUGGAGCAGUCUCAACAGAAUUCAACCGAGUUAUGUUGUUGCUGCAACGACCUGCUGAGAAAGCUACUGAGGGAAUAUCAGAACCUCAAAACAGAAAGAGACUUUUUACUGGACAACCUCAGUGAACUGAGCAAAACAACUAUUGAGGGUGCCGAUUUCCAAGGCUCUGGAUCUGGUUCUGGUUUCCUAGAGGAUAACUACAGUUGAACAACAGUGCAAGCCACAUGGAUGCAUGGAAACAACAGUAUUCAGCUUCAAGCAUUCAGCAGCAAAUUAUCCACUGCUGGGUUCAUCUGUUUAUCAUGUGGCCAGCUUAAAGAGGACAGUAUGCUAUCAGUGACCUUAUUUGCCAAGUGCCAUCAUCUUGUGGGCUGUUUUCACACUGUGGAACCUCAGGAGACCAAUAGACUCUCUAUUUAGAUGAGAUGCUAUAUUUUUGGUUUUCAUACAUAGGAGAACAACAGCGAUCAGUUAAAAUGACAAAUUACAAAUGGUUUUCCAAUUCCAGAGUAAUUCUAAAGUCAUCACAUUUGUUACCCACUACUUCCAGAGACAAUCACCGCUAAUUAGUUUGUUUAUUCAUUCAUUUAUUCAUUGUCUGUUAUUACAUAAUUUUUGUUUAUCAUGUGUUCAUUAGUUAAUAAAUGUUUGUGUAUAAUUAUUGUCAGUUCUGUAUGUCUUUGAUUGGGGAACUAGAAGUCAAUGGAAGCAGAGUUUCCGACAUUUGUUUAUGAGACUGAUCAAUAUAAGUAGAUAUGAUUAAUUAAUGAUUGUUGAACCUGACAUAUUCUUGAUAAAGGUCUCUUAGGUGGCCUUGAUCAACAAAACCUAAGAUGUGUCCCUGACAAAUGAGUGCAAUUUUAAUCAUAAAGAGCAGUUUCUACAAUUAUGUGGUGUGGCCACAUUAGGCUACACAUUUUUGCUACAUAUGACUAUAUUUCUACGUGUGAGGCUAUUUCCGCUACAUUUAUUUACAUUCAUAUAUUUAUUGUACAGUUUGUGUGAACUUCAGUCUGUAAAAACACAUUUAAAUACUGUAUAUUAAAAUGUUGGUACUGGAUAUUAAAAUAUCCUCACUGACUCACAUCAGUGAAGUUUUUGGCCACAGUGAGGCAGGCAAGCGAAAAUCUGAAUCUAUCAGCAAAGUAUGAGGGAAAAAACAAACUGGGUAGUAAAUGGUGAACAAAGCGGUGCAACUAGAAGGCCACAUAUUUCCCUAAGGAAUUGGCAGAGACAAUACCUGAGCUAAAAAGGACAGAGAAUAUUGGAUUUGCAUUCAUCAGGUGGACACAAACAUAUAAAUUCCUAUAUUUUACAUUCAAGGCAACCAAAAAGAAGCAACAGAUUCCAACCACAAUUACCAAAUUGUAUUUUUUGUUUGUACUGUACUGCUACUGUAACUUACAUGUACUAAUGUGUUGCAAUCUCAUCUUUUGUAAUUUAAAAAAAAAGUGUAUAUAAUGUAAUCUUAAACUGCCAUUACACCCUUGUCUUUUGAGCUCUUGUAAUUUGAACUUUCCCCACUGUGGGAUCAAUAAAGUUUAUCUUAUCUUUAAAAAACUAAAAACAAUGAAUGCAGGUGAACAUAUCAGUAUGAAGUGUAAUAAUGCAGCAAACCUCAAAAUUACAUAUAUUUAAAUCUCUUUAUGAAAAUAUUUAAAAUGCUGUUCAGUAUUUUUAUUUCUGUAUGA